AAAGUUAUGAAGUUUCGUGGUAUGCUGGGUUAGGAAAGCCGUUAGAAUGGUUCCGGUGAAGUCCGGGAGCAUUCGGUCGUUUCGGUGCGCGUUGGGCGCGAAAACGGAACCCGAAGGGCUCUGUUGGACCAUGGACUUUGUAAGGUACCGGACUUCUAAAACUAUGAAGUUACGUUAUACAUUUGGUUGGAAAGCCAUUUGAAUUGUUCUGGUGAGGUUGCGAUGAAAUGUAAUAUACCGGAUUUUUAAAUAUAAAAAUAAAAAUAAAUAAAAAUAGUAUGAGAUACUAUUUUUAUUGGAUUUGGAGAAGUGAAAUAUGAGUUAAAAACAACCUGUGCUAAAAUCGGAGUGAAAACAGAAGAUUUAGAAUUUUCUAUGAGAAACGGGGCAGAUAAAUUAGCAGAAAAUGCACAGUGUUAGAAAAUUCUGAAAAUUGGAGGAUAAGCCAGAAUUACUUUUAUGAGGCUAGAUUUAAAAUUUCAUAUCAUUCUGACGCCCGGAAAGUGGAAAAUAAAAUCCGACUGCUAUUUGAUAAAGAUUACAGUUCGGUACGGUUUUCGGUGAC
rnacentral:lncRNA from 1 species